rnacentral:tRNA from 1 species
AAUAAAGUGCCUGAAAAAGGAUUACCAUGAUAGGGUAAAUCAUAUACGUUUUGUAUCUUUAUUA